rnacentral:rRNA from 1 species
GACGAACGCUGGCGGCGUGCUUAACACAUGCCAGUCGAACGGAAAGGCCCUGCUUUUGUGGGGUGCUCGAGUGGCGAACGGGUGAGUAACACGUGAGUAACCUGCCCUUGACUUUGGGAUAACUUCAGGAAACUGGGGCUAAUACCGGAUAGGAGCUCCUGCUGCAUGGUGGGGGUUGGAAAGUUUCGGCGGUUGGGGAUGGACUCGCGGCUUAUCAGCUUGUUGGUGGGGUAGUGGCUUACCAAGGCUUUGACGGGUAGCCGGCCUGAGAGGGUGACCGGCCACAUUGGGACUGAGAUACGGCCCAGACUCCUACGGGAGGCAGCAGUGGGGAAUAUUGCACAAUGGGCGGAAGCCUGAUGCGGCAACGCCGCGUGCGGGAUGACGGCCUUCGGGUUGUAAACCGCUUUCGCCUGUGACGAAGCGUGAGUGACGGUAAUGGAUAAAGAAGCACCGGCUAACUACGUG